rnacentral:rRNA from 1 species
CGGUGAAACUGCGAAUGGCUCAUUAAAUCAGUUAUCGUUUAUUUGAUAGUACCUUACUACAUGGAUAACCGUGGUAAUUCUAGAGCUAAUACAUGCUAAAAACCUCGACUUCGGAAGGGGUGUAUUUAUUAGAUAAAAAACCAAUGCCCUUCGGGGCUCCUUGGUGAAUCAUAAUAACUUAACGAAUCGCAUGGCCUUGCGCCGGCGAUGGUUCAUUCAAAUUUCUGCCCUAUCAACUUUCGAUGGUAGGAUAGUGGCCUACCAUGGUAUCAACGGGUAACGGGGAAUUAGGGUUCGACUCCGGAGAGGGAGCCUGAGAAACGGCUACCACAUCCAAGGAAGGCAGCAGGCGCGCAAAUUACCCAAUCCCGACACGGGGAGGUAGUGACAAUAAAUACUGAUACAGGGCUCUUUUGGGUCUUGUAAUUGGAAUGAGUACAAUUUAAAUCCCUUAACGAGGAACAAUUGGAGGGCAAGUCUGGUGCCAGCAGCCGCGGUAAUUCCAGCUCCAAUAGCGUAUAUUAAAGUUGUUGCAGUUAAAAAGCUCGUAGUUGAACCUUGGGCCUGGCUGGCCGGUCCGCCUCACCGCGUGUACUGGUCCGGCCGGGCCUUUCCUUCUGGGGAACCUCAUGCCCUUCACUGGGCGUGUUGGGGAACCAGGACUUUUACUUUGAAAAAAUUAGAGUGUUCAAAGCAGGCCUUUGCUCGAAUACAUUAGCAUGGAAUAAUAGAAUAGGACGUGUGGUUCUAUUUUGUUGGUUUCUAGGACCGCCGUAAUGAUUAAUAGGGAUAGUCGGGGGCAUCAGUAUUCAAUCGUCAGAGGUGAAAUUCUUGGAUUGAUUGAAGACUAACUACUGCGAAAGCAUUUGCCAAGGAUGUUUUCAUUAAUCAGUGAACGAAAGUUAGGGGAUCGAAGACGAUCAGAUACCGUCGUAGUCUUAACCAUAAACUAUGCCGACUAGGGAUCGGACGGUGUUAGUAUUUUGACCCGUUCGGCACCUUACGAGAAAUCAAAG